UGCCAGCCGCCGCGGUAACACGUAGGGGGCGAGCGUUGUCCGGAUUUAUUGGGCGUAAAGAGCUCGUAGGCUGUUCGGUAAGUCAGGUGUGAAAACCCAGGGCUCAACCCUGGGACGCCACCUGAUACUGCUGUGACUGGAGUCCGGUAGAGGAGCGUGGAAUUCCUGGUGUAGCGGUGAAAUGCGCAGAUAUCAGGAGGAACACCAACGGCGAAGGCAGCGCUCUGGGCCGGUACUGACGCUGAGGAGCGAAAGCAUGGGGAGCGAACAGGAUUAGAUA
rnacentral:rRNA from 1 species